GGCUGGUUUGGAGACUUGGCAUCUAAAUCUGUUCCAGCCAGUCCCGAGGGGCACGGAGUGCGACUAAAGGAAGGGAGAAAGAAAAGAGAGAUAGCGAGGUUCAAAAAGCUGAACCACGCUUCCCAGAAUGCUCAGGUCAAACCCCAGUGAGAAGAUGCCACGAAGAAGGAAACAGCCAACUCAGGAGUCCUGGGAUAUCUGAAAUCGAUAAGAAGGAUAGAGGCGGGCCAGAUGAGACCUCUUCAGAACAGAACAAACAAAGAAACUGAAGUCACCCCGUGCUACCCAGGUGAAUUCCAGGUCUUUAAAAAGCCCUGGUCUUUCAUGGAAAUACAUCAUUCUAUUAAAGGAAUCUAGAAAAAAUUAAAAAUCUCUCUAUAUAGAAUACCAUUUAAUAAAAAGUACGAGAGCAC
rnacentral:lncRNA from 1 species